CUGUCGUUGGAGAAACAGCUGACAAUGACGGUGAUGACUCGGAAGGCACCUGACAUUACCUGGAGACAGCUAAAGAAACUGGAUCAACAGGCAUCUAUUCAGCUUGCAGACGUGGAAGGCCCUGCAACUGCAGAGAAUUGGUUUCUUGUGUAUCUGAUGGUAAUUAGGGAAACUUCUGAGAAAGUAAGACAGACAUGGAUGUUGGGGUGGCUGGCAUUUGCAGAAGGCCCUAUACUGCCACCUGAUGCAUCUAUGACCAGGGAAGAAUGAUAGAAGCUUACCUUGCAUGAGAUGACCAGCAAGCUUUAAGAAUUAAAAAAGGGGGAGAUAUGGGGGG